rnacentral:lncRNA from 1 species
ACAAUGCCAACCAGUGCCUGCGAGUCUUGCUCGUACAACGUAAAAUUUCCCACCGCGAAGCAGGUAGUGAUGCUGCGGCGGCUUCGCACUGUGGUUGCUGCCGACCGCCAGGCGCUGCUACAGUGGAUGCGAACUACCUAUGCAGCAGCAGCCGGAACCGACAGUUCACCUUGGUGCAUUCCUUUAUGA